CUAGCGGACGCCUGCUGUUCCCGCGCACGCGCCUUCCCAACACCCACUGGCGCUGCGUCCGCCCCUCCCUGGGAUUCGACUCUAGGAAGCUCAUAAUUUGGCAGCGCUGCGGCACAUGCGCUGUUCUCCUUCGGUUCCCCUAAGCUACAAUGGCUCACUAUUUAGCAGCGGGUGCCGUUGUCGCAGUGCCAUUUGAACAGCCGGUAUGGAAAGAGGGGCAGUUCGGAGCGGAUCUCUUACUCCCAGCCAGCUGGUACUUUUGCACUGGAACACAGCAACUGCUUAUCAGAGACUACAUGGACUGUAAGUAACAAUAAAUGCUGUUAACUCUGCCAGCACCUACAAAACAGAGGAGCUCAAAAUAUUGUCAAAAGUCCUCCAAUUUAUUCAAACCUGCUUCUCUCCACAAACAAAAAUUAAUCUUCAAUGUUAUCACAGCAAUUGAUUUCAGUGGAGAAGUGGAAUUGGGUGGAGAAGAAUCUGAAGGGCUUUUAUCACUGCUGUUUUCCCCCUCUGCAGGUAGAGAAGGAUAACUGGACAAAGGACUUGGAAAUAGAGAAUGAUUUAGCCAGUAUAAAAGGAGGUAGGAAGACCUGAAUAAACAAAAAGAGAAAGGGGGUUUAAACAGCCAUUAAUCUGGAUUAAAAAAGGACAAGCUACAGAAGAGGGUAAGGGAAGAAACAAUGAAGAAUGAGAUGAGAAGGGAGUAGGGGACAAUGAAGAGAGAGGAUCUAGGAAAGGAGUAAUGAUUAUUUAAAAUUUCAUCUAGGUUGAGGAGGAGGAGAGAGUGGAGAGAACUAAGGGAAAAGAAAGAUGAAAUCUGACUAGUCACCUUGCAGGGAAAGAGAACAGGACCAAAAAAGGGAUAAAGGACAAGAGGAUGAAAAGAAGGCAAGGUUUCCAAAACCUACUGAGUUUGGUUUUAGACUCCUAAAGUGAUGGUGUCAAGGUACAUAGCUAUGCAAAGAGCACAACUUAGUUAGGUUCCACUUUCUUUGUCACUAAUGGAGAAAGCUUCAUGUAUGUAAAUGUACAUUCUUUAACUGAGAAUAAAAAAAUGAAAGUUCAUAUUAUUAAUUUACACUUAUUUGUUCUUGUAAAAAUUAUAAUGAGCAUUAUAAAUUGCAGCAUCCAUCUUAAAGCAUUUUAAGAGGACUCUGAUUUUUUCACCCAUGUUCAGCUUAUCAGUUGCUUUUGCUUGUUUCGACUUCCUCAAGAACAAUGUUUUACAAUAGGUCUGGAAUGGCAUUGAGUUGUUGUAAUCAAAAGGUGGCAAUAUAACAUUCAGAUGUUUAGUUACGGUUUAUCGCCUACAUCAAAUGUAUCUUAAGGAAAGAAUACCUCUGUGCAGGACAGAAUGCUAUUCAUUAAUAGAGAACUUGAGAGGUUAAAUGACAUGCUAUGAUAUCCAAAAUAAUUAUAUUAAAAGAAUGUUAAGGUUGCAAAGUCAAACACUCCAAAGAUAGGAAAUGCCAGAAUCAAAUUUUGCCAGGCAACUUUAAUUUGGCCCCGAUGCACAUGUACACUUUAAUCUUUAAUUACAUGAUCACAUACUAUUUUUUUCCCCCCACAGGUACCAUGUCUCUUUCAGUGAAUGGGCAGCUAUUUAAUAUUUCUUUUUAUCCUCCACAUUGAAUGUGUGCCUCUAGGCUUUAUUUAACACACACCAUGCAUACUUUUCAGUGGAUAAAAAAAUAAUAAUUUCUUCAUGGGCAUUUGCUUGGUGCUCAGGCCAUAGUAGCUGAAUGCUUCACAAACAUUAAUGAGUUUAUUUACUCAUUUGAGAUUAUGUAAUAGUACUAUCCCCAAUUGACAGCUGGGAAACUGAAGCGCAGAGAGAGAUUAAGGUCAAAAACUGUUAAAUGUGUACACUAAUAUUGGGUAGCCAGCCUGAAACAUCUAGGGCCUUAUUUUGCAGAGGACUUAAUAUUUCCAUAGUACUUUUUGUUCAAAACAUGGCUCCAGUUGGUACCAGUUGCAGUUGUGAGCAUUCAGAAUUUUUUGCAACUCUAGACCAGGUGUAUCACAUUGUGUUCCUCAUUUUAUGGGUACCCACAGUUAGUGGUCACCUGUGACAAUUUUGGUUUGUGAUUUGCCCAGCAUCUUAUAGGAACCCUGUGGCACAGGCAGGGAUAGAAUACAGUUCUCUAGGGUGACAUUUGAGUUCCUUAACUAUGAGUCUGUCCCCUCUCUUCCCUGCCUUAUUCAUACAACAGCCGCACUGACCACAGAAUCCUGAUUCAUUCUGAGAUGAACCUCCAUCCUGUGCACCAAAUGAGGAAGGGGUCUUAUGGGAAAAAAUAGUAUGGGGUCAUGUAAUGAAAGACUAUCAUAAUGUGCAUAUAUAUAUUGUAUAUAAGGAGGCUGAAGUAAGUUUUCACAGGGAACCUUAUUUCUGAAAUUUCCUAACAUUUGAGCACUUGACUUCACAACCUUAGUGUUCUUUUAAUGUCAUGUUUCUAAUGUAGCUUCCUAAUUUAAAAAAAGUAACAAACUAAAAAAAAAAAACAACAGAAAUUCCAUCAUGUGAAACUAUAUUCACCAGUUUGGGUCAUCAGUAGGGUUUAGACCUUUAGAUUCACAGCUCAGACUUCUGCUAUUUGUGCUAAUGGACUAAAUGGUAGCUGUAUUAGGCUGUUAUCUCACAAGUCAGGUGGACCAUUCAUUAGAAGAUGAGACAGAUAUUUUGCUGAUGGGCUUCACAGGUAUUUGCUGACAGCAGAGGAAUGUAGAGACUAAGGUCCCCCAGACUCAAUUCCAGGUUCUGUAGGGGAAGCAUGCUUUAGUGAUUAAAGGCUGUUGUUCCCCUAGCCUGUAUUCAUCCCUCUCUGCUGCUAGCCAAACUCCAGCCCCCACUGGCUCCUCCUCCCUCCUCCUGUCCUACCCAUACUGUGGCAUUCCACCUCUUCCUUCCUUCCUUCCUUGCUUCUCUGCAUUCCAGUGUAGUUGUCACCUCCUUCUCCACACUUCCUGGUUGCCAGCACAGGAGAACACAGAGAAAAGGAACACUGCUGUCAAUUUCAGUGCUUGGCACUACAGUGGGCCCUCAGCUGCUGGAAGAUACAAUUUCAAGUAGGUGGAGGUAACGGACUCAGCUAUUGGGAGUGCAGGUGAGAGGAGAAAGCAGAAGUGCAUUGCUGUCAAAUGGCUAACUUUGAUGGAAGUUAGUCCUUCAUAGGAUUGCUUUUUGCUGUCAACCGAUGCUGCCACAGUCUGACCCCUACUCCAAGGCUGAGGCAAGCCCCCAUCAAAGAAUCCUGCUCCUCUGUGGGGAUGGUUUAAAGGAGAAAACACAAAAUGAAGUUUGCUGUUGGUUUCUAGGAAGACUUCACACCUUGUCUCCAUACAAAAGCCUUUCUUUGUAGUCCCCAAAACUUUGUACUGUGACUAAAUACAUCAGUACACUUACUUAUGGAAAUCUUCUCUCAGCUUAUCUUCACGGACCUUGCCCUCUUAGCUAACCAACACAUUUCUCUAGGCACCACUCUCCAGUGAUUGAAUGCCUCCUACUAAAAUGUGGUUGGACAGAGCUCGUUAUCCGUAAUACUGGCAGAACUGUCCCUGUGAUGUAUCUAAUGUGAGACGCUGUGUUUUGUACAGUGCUUAGCACAAUUGGGUUCUGAUCUAUGACUAAGACUCCUUGGCACUAAGGGAAAACAAGUAAGACAUAAUAAUGUUUUCCCCUGCAUAGGUGAGUUGAUAUUAAAUUAUGUAUAUUUAUUUACAUUGCAUGUGGAAAACAGACUGAGUUUGUUUUUUAAAUGACCACUCUGAACCAAGUACAAUGCCUGCAAAUCUCUAUGGAAACACAUUAUUCAUGUAGAAAUACCUAAAAUAGAAUGAGAAGAAUAAAAAGACUAAAGGGUUUCAUACAUGCAGUUAUACUCUUAAAGUGAAGAGACAAACAUCACAGACAAAAUGGAGAAAACAGGAAAAGGAUGUUUAUUUUCUUAAUUAUGAGAGGUUUAAUACAGAUUGAUUUCACUUUCCUUUAAAAUAUUUAUAACCUUUGUUACAGAUGAGAUAUUAAUCUGUGUGAUGUACUUAUCUCUGUCAUGCCUAUUUUAAAUGCAUCCCUUGCCUUAUUUCUUGUUUGAAUCAUAUAUUUAUUAGUUUGCAUACUCUAAAUCCAGGCACAAAACUGUUCCAUAUGAAUGUACCUGUUUCAAGCAUAUAUCCCCAUCCCAGUUGCUGCUGUGAGAUGCUCAGUACUCCCUAUCACCAGGAAUACUGAUUCCAGUUUGAAGUUGGACUCUCAAUCUUGCCUUCCCUGGGAACUGUUGGGUCUUUUGCUUUAUAUCUUUCCUUUGCAUGCUGUUUUGAAGAUCUCAUCUGCAUCCUUUAUUUUGUGGAAAUAAAUAGGAAUUCUUCAAAAAUACUCUACUGUUCUGCAGAGCCAUAUGGGAUAACUACAUUUGGUAGCAGUUCCCAGUCUCAUAUUUCUUGGAUCAGCAAUUCAUUUACACCUUCUGAGGAGGAAGUACUUUGCAUCACAUCACUCUUAAGUGUCAACACAGAGAGUCCAAAGGGAGUUCCAUCUAGUAUCCCAGUAGCAUGGUGGUGAGGAAGCCUUUUGAUAGAACAAUGGGAACCAACACAUAACUUAAUUUGUUUAACUCUCAAGCCACUGGGUGGCUGAAAAGCUAACCUGAUCUUCAGCUAGGAAAAACUUCCAUUAAAAAAAUCAAACCAGAUUAUUUUUUUAGGCAUCUCACAACCACUUAAUUCAGCUGCUUUGCUUUGCAGUAUAUGCAAAAGAAAUUUGGUAAAUUAGAGACCAUUCCAUUCUCCGCACUCUGUCUUGUAUGCCAAUGUUUUUUUCUUUCUUUCACUGCCGCUCUUCUUAAAGGUAUAGAAUUUUGCCAGCUCUGGCAGUGGGAAGGGCUCUGAAAUAAACACCAGUGAAAUUCAGAAGAUAAAACGAAAAAUGGAAUGAGUAUGAUGUAUUGGAACUGUCAGGAAUGGAAGCAGUGAGUGCACAGCUGAGUGCACACUUUACUGUUACUAGAGGGUUAGGUAACUGGUGACAACAGCAGUCCAUCAUCCUAAAUACCUAACAUAGACCUUGUUUACAGAUGGCACAGCUGCAAGAUUGUAAGCUUUUGAGGGCAAGACUUCCUUUUUGUUGUGUUCAUAUAUGGCCUAGCACAAUGGGGUUCUAUUCCACAACUGGGGCUGUAAAUACAAGAAGUCACUUAAAAGAGAAAGGGUUAAAGGGUCAAUCUCUUGGGAACAAAA